rnacentral:rRNA from 1 species
UACAGAGGGUGCGAGCGUUGUUCGGAAUUAUUGGGCGUAAAGGGUGCGUAGGCGGCGCGGUAAGUCGGGUGUGAAAUCUCGGAGCUUAACUCCGAAACUGCAUUCGAUACUGCCGUGCUUGAGGACUGGAGAGGAGACUGGAAUUUACGGUGUAGCGGUGAAAUGCGUAGAUAUCGUAAGGAAGACCAGUGGCGAAGGCGGGCCUCUGGACAGUUCCUGACGCUGGGGCACGAAGUCAGGGGAGCAAACGGGAUGAGAAACCCU